UGAACCUCCUUCGUCCGCUCAUUCCGUUAAGUCGUUCGCCGCGAAUUUUUCCGCCAUAUCGCCGACCGUGAUCAGCGCCCUGGUAUCACGCCGAUCAACAUCAUCCGGAGGUUCGCCGGAACCGGAGUCUGCCGCAGCGCGGUGAUUGAUCCCGCGGCUUCAUCAGAUUUUUGCAAGUACCUUUCGCGUUGCAAUUGCCGAAUCAACGACUGUUUAAGCAGUUGCUUGUAACUGCGGUGGAAAUGUCAUCUGAGUAAAUAGAACGCAGAACGAUCUUGCUCCAUCGAGAAUAUCGUCGCGACGUUCAUUUAUGUCGUACAGGGGGCACCGAACUGCUUGCAAUUUCUCGUACUUCGCGGCAUUGUUGGUUGGCCAAAAGGAUGUGUUAACAAGUCGUGGCACGAGCUGGUAGCAAAGCGCUUAUGUUUGCGGUGCAAUCAGAUGGCGGCGCUAAAGAGGAAGAGGCUCCUCGCACCUUCCUGAUAACGAGUCAUGCCGCUAAGUUGGAGCAGCCACACUUUUGCGUGAGGAGCUACCUCCUUCCUUGAGUUGCGGACCAGCUAUACUGGUAGCUGAUCGCUGAUAUUGGUUAGUGCAUUACAAAUGAGGCAGAGAUCAUGAGCUUUGCAAAUAAAAGUGGCCAGUCAUUUGCAUAGCAGAUAUAUUGCAGAUAUAUAUGUAUGUAUAUCAUAGAAUUUUAACAAAAUUAGAAUAAGAAGAUUGAAUUAAAGUGCGCGAUAUUAUGAUAAAACAAUUAUCAAGCAGUAUGAGAAAUUAUAAUUAUAAUUAGCAGACGACUUUAAAAAAACAAAAGUAUAUACGCGCGCGAUAAGGUUUUAAUAGAUUAGAGAAUUGGGAAAAAAAGAAGUGAGAGAAAGAGAGAAAAAGAGAAAAAGAGAGCUGAGAAUUUGCUCCUGAAAAAUGACAUUCAAAAAACAUAAAACGUUCUGAAAAAUA